rnacentral:rRNA from 1 species
AUUGAACGCUGGCGGCAGGCUUAACACAUGCAAGUCGAGCGGGGGAGGUUGCUUCGGUAACUGACCUAGCGGCGGACGGGUGAGUAAUGCUUAGGAAUCUGCCUAUUAGUGGGGGACAACAUUCCGAAAGGGAUGCUAAUACCGCAUACGCCCUACGGGGGAAAGCAGGGGAUCUUCGGACCUUGCGCUAAUAGAUGAGCCUAAGUCGGUUUAGCUAGUUGGUGGGGUAAGAGCCUACCAAGGGAACGAUCUGUAGCGGGUCUGAGAGGAUGAUCCGGCACACUGGGACGGAGAAACGGCCCAGAAUCCUCCGGGAGGCAGCAGUGGGGAAUAUUGAACAAAGGGGGGAACCCUGAUCCAGCCAUGCCGCGUGUGUGAAGAAGGCCUUAUGGUUGUAAAGCACUUUAAGCGAGGAGGAGGCUACUGAGACUAAUACUCUUGGAUAGUGGACGUUACUCGCAGAAUAAGCACCGGCUAACUCUGUGCCAGCAGCCGCAGUAAUAC